rnacentral:rRNA from 1 species
UACGGAGGGGGCAAGCGUUAUUCGGAAUUAUUGGGCGUAAAGGGCGCGUAGGCGGCUAGAUGUGUCAAAGGUGAAAUCCCUCGGCUCAACUGAGGAACUGCCUUUGAAACUGUCUGGCUUGAGGCCGGGAGAGGGUAGCGGAAUUCCCAGUGUAGCGGUGAAAUGCUUAGAUAUCUGGAGGAACACCAGUGGCGAAGGCGGUGUUCUGGGCCUGUACUGACGCUGAUGCGCGAAAGCGUGGGGAGCGAACAGG